UAAUUGGUUUUCGAGAAAUCGAAAUUAAAAGGGAAUUAGGUGAAAAACCUAGACUGUUCCCGCAACUGUAAGCUUCGAUAAAAGCUUGUUUAAUAAAUCCACUGUUAGCCUAAUGCUGAUGGGAAGGAAAACAAGAAAUGAAGUGAGUCAGGAGACCUGCCAAUUUACAU
rnacentral:ncRNA from 1 species